rnacentral:rRNA from 1 species
AUGUGCUUGCGGGAUAGGGAUCUUUGGCUCAUGCAGUGCCCACUGAUAUGCAACUGGGCGGUUGAGCUUCAAUUGCCACAUCGCGUGUAUCGUCAGUUUGGUCUGUUCCAGCCUCACCCGCCGGAUUGGGUGGACACGGACAAAGCACUUCAUAGGUUGGACAGGAGAAAGCAGCGGAAGAUAAAGGACUGGGACAAGCAUCAUGCUUCGUAUGUUACCCGCUUCCAUCUUUGUGUGGAGCAAGCUCGUAACAGUGCACGUGCCCAGCUUCGUGAGCAUAGCUCACUUGCUUUCGAUAACUACCUACGAUGGAUUCUUGAAAAUACUCGAGUUGAGAUAUGCCCGCCGGCAUACAAUGAGGGUAUUCUUGAAGAACCCAUAAACUUUAAGGAUCUAUCGAAGGGGAAGUACAACAAAGAUCGCAGCCAGAUCAAGAGAUCAGCUGAUGAAAGCCAGUCUAUUCUAGAGAAGACACUGGUUGGAGAAGGCAAUGAUGAAGGUCCACUACGGAAAUUUCUCAAGCGCCAGGCCCAGAAGUUAAGGCGGUUAUCGAACCUUCUCGGUUGCCGUGACCCAGAAUAUGAUGAACCAUCUGCCUCUAGGUCGGGUACACCAUCAGACCCCUUAUCUCACCAUGAGGGGGACGAUGUGAGUUCCUCACAUGCUUAUCUGGAUGAUGAGGGUGCGGUCACCCAAGAGGCUGAUGAGAUUGAUGAUGACAUUACUUUGGCGGACGCACAAGUUCGGUCCGCAUACAUGUUCAAGCGUAGGCAGCCCAUACGCCGGUAUACGCCCACCGACUUUGACAACAGAGGCAACACAAAGGUGGUCGCAGGGAGCUCACGGAUGGCGAGCUUGGAUAAUGAGGCAGAGGAGGAAGUGGAGGCAGAGGAGGCUCGUCCUGGCAGGAGGAAGAAGAUCGCCAGCAGGCGUGGCACCAGGAGCAUGCGCGCAAGGCAUUAG